UAAAACUAACAUGCUAUUAUAAAUGAGGUCGCGCUCCCUUAAUUCUCCUAUGCUUUUAUUUUCAAAAUUCAAAACUGAUCACGAGUUUAGUGACAUGUGGCGAGCAAAAUAAAAAUAAUUUAAAAAAAAAUCAAUACAAAAUAAAAGUAGUUAAAUAAAAAUGAAAGAAAAACAAAAACGAACAUCAACUUCAACUCUCAUCGAUCUUAUCUCUCACUCAUAUUUUUCAAA
rnacentral:lncRNA from 1 species